rnacentral:rRNA from 1 species
UACGGGGGGGGCAAGCGUUGUUCGGAAUUACUGGGCGUAAAGGGCGCGUAGGCGGCCUGCUAAGUCAGACGUGAAAUCCCUCGGCUUAACCGGGGAACUGCAUCUGAUACUGGAUGGCUUGAGUUUGGGAGAGGGAUGCGGAAUUCCAGGUGUAGCGGUGAAAUGCGUAGAUAUCUGGAGGAACACCGGUGGCGAAGGCGGCAUCCUGGACCAACACUGACACUGAGGAGCGAAAGCCAGGGGAGCAAACGGG